AUGCAAGUCGAACGGUGAUGGCCAGCUUGCUGGUCGGAUCAGUGGCGAACGGGUGAGUAACACGUGAGUAACCUGCCCCAGACUCUGGGAUAAGCCUUGGAAACGAGGUCUAAUACUGGAUAUGAGAUGCCCCUGCAUGGGGAGUGUCUGGAAAGAUUUAUCGGUCUGGGAUGGACUCGCGGCCUAUCAGCUUGUUGGUGGGGUAAUGGCCUACCAAGGCGACGACGGGUAGCCGGCCUGAGAGGGCGACCGGCCACACUGGGACUGAGACACGGCCCAGACUCCUACGGGAGGCAGCAGUGGGGAAUAUUGCACAAUGGGCGCAAGCCUGAUGCAGCGACGCCGCGUGAGGGAUGAAGGCCUUCGGGUUGUAAACCUCUUUCAGCAGGGAAGAAGCGCAAGUGACGGUACCUGCAGAAGAAGCGCCGGCUAACUACGUGCCAGCAGCCGCGGUAAUACGUAGGGCGCAAGCGUUGUCCGGAAUUAUUGGGCGUAAAGAGCUCGUAGGCGGUUUGUCGCGUCUGGUGUGAAAACUCAAGGCUCAACCUUGAGCUUGCAUCGGGUACGGGCAGACUAGAGUGCGGUAGGGGUGACUGGAAUUCCUGGUGUAGCGGUGGAAUGCGCAGAUAUCAGGAGGAACACCGAUGGCGAAGGCAGGUCACUGGGCCGCAACUGACGCUGAGGAGCGAAAGCAUGGGGAGCGAACAGGAUUAGAUACCCUGGUAGUCCAUGCCGUAAACGUUGGGCACUAA
rnacentral:rRNA from 1 species